rnacentral:rRNA from 1 species
AGGAUAAACGCUGGCGGCGUGCCUAACACAUGCAAGUCGAACGUCUCUUCUUUCGGGAAGAGGAGUGGCGGACGGGUGAGGAACACGUGGGAACCUGCCCUUCAGUGAGGAAUACCGGCGAGAAAUCGCCGACAAGACCGCAUAGCCCUCUCUGGUGAGAGCCAGAGAAGGAAAGCCUCGCAAGAGGCGCUGGAGGAGGGGCCUGCGUCCGAUUAGCUAGUUGGUGGGGUAAGAGCCUACCAAGGCGUCGAUCGGUAGCUGGUCUGAGAGGACGAUCAGCCACACUGGGAUUGAGAACGGCCCAGACUCCUACGGGGGGCAGCAGUGAGGAAUUUUCGGCAAUGGGGGAAACCCUGACCGAGCAACGCCGCGUGCAGGAAGACGGCCUUCGGGUUGUAAACUGCUUUCUUUGGGACGAGCAAGGACGGUACCAGAGGAAUCAGCCCCGGCUCACUACGUGCCAGCAGCCGC